rnacentral:misc_RNA from 1 species
UCCGGUUUGUACCGGCGGUCCCGCCAGACAUAGUAACUGGCAGCAAGGGUUGCGCUCGUUGCGGGACCUAACCCAACACCUCACGGCGCGAGCUGACGACAGCCAUGCAGCAUCUGUGCAUGCUCCCUUGCGGGUCCCUCACCUUUCGGUUUGGUACCACAUGCAUGUCAAGCCUAGGUAAGGUUCUGCGCGUUGCAUCGAAUUAAACCACAUGCUCCACCGCUUGUGCGGGCCCCCGUCAAUUCCUUUGAGUUUUAAUCUUGCGACCGUACUCCCCAGGCGGAAUGCUUAAUCCGUUAGGUGUGACACCGAAGGGCAAGCCCCCCGACGUCUGGCAUUCAUCGUUUACGGCGUGGACUAC